rnacentral:hammerhead_ribozyme from 1 species
GUACUACUGAAGAGUCCCAAAAUAGGACUAGUGAAACAACUGUCCAGUAC